CCUACGGUGGCUGCAGUGGGGAAUAUUGGACAAUGGGGGGAACCCUGAUCCAGCGACGCCGCGUGAGUGAAGAAGUAUUUCGGUAUGUAAAGCUCUAUCAGCUGGGAAGAAAAAGUCGGUCCCUGACUCAGAACCCCCGGCUAACUACGUGCCAGCAGCCGCGGGAAUCCGGAGGGGGCAAGCGUUAUCCGGGUUUACUGGGUGUAAAGGGAGCGUAGACGGUGCAGCAAGUCUGAUGUGAAAGGUCGGGGCCCAACCCCGGGACUGCAUUGGAAACUGUUGGACUGGAGUACAGGAGAGGUAAGCGGAAUGCCUAGUGUAGCGGUGAAAUGCGUAGAUAUUGGGAAGAACACCAGUGGCGAAGGCGGCUUACUGGACUGUAACUGACGUUGAGGCUCGAAAGCGUGGGGAGCAAACAGGAUUAGAUACCCGUGUAGUC
rnacentral:rRNA from 1 species